rnacentral:rRNA from 1 species
UACGAAGGGGGGCUAGCGUUGCUCGGAAUCACUGGGCGUAAAGCGCACGUAGGCGGGUCGUUAAGUCAGGGGUGAAAUCCUGGAGCUCAACUCCAGAACUGCCCCUUGAUACUGGCGAUCUCGAGUUCCGGGGAGAGGUGAGUGGAACUGCGAGUGUAGAGGUGAAAUUCGUAGAUAUUCGCAAGAACACCCGUGGCGAAGGCCGGCUCUCUGGGACGGUACUGACGCUGGAGACGCGAAAGCGUGGGGAGCGAACAGG